GCCUGGGUGGCUCAGUUGGUUGAGUGUCUGACUUUGGCUCAGGUCACGGUCUCACGGUUCGUGGGUUCAAGCCCCGCUUCGGGCU